GAUGAAGAACGCAGCGAAAUGCGAUAAGUAGUGUGAAUUGCAGAAUUCAGUGAAUCAUCGAAUCUUUGAACGCACAUUGCGCCCCUUGGUAUUCCAUGGGGCAUGCCUGUUCGAGCGUCAUUUGUACCUUCAAGCUUUGCUUGGUGUUGGGUGUUUGUCUCGCCUCUGCGUAUAGACUCGCCUUAAAACAAUUGGCAGCCGGCGUAUUGAUUUCGGAGCGCAGUACAUCUCGCGCUUUGCACUCAUAACGACGACGUCCAAAAGUACAUUUUUACACUCUUGACCUCGGAUCAGGUAGGGAUACCCGCUGAACUUAAGCAUAUCAAUAAGCGGAGGA
rnacentral:misc_RNA from 1 species